AGGACGAACGCUGGCGGCGUGCUUAACACAUGCAAGUCGAGCGGUGAUCCUCCUUCGGGAGGUGAUCAGCGGCGAACGGGUGAGUAACACGUGGGCAACCUGCCCCUCCACACUGGGAUAACCUCCGGGAAACCGGGGCUAAUACCGGAUACGACCUCGAGCGGCAUCUCUUGAGGUGGAAAGCUCCGACGGUGAGGGAUGGGCCCGCGGCCUAUCAGCUUGUUGGUGGGGUAAUGGCCUACCAAGGCGACGACGGGU
rnacentral:rRNA from 1 species